rnacentral:lncRNA from 1 species
ACAAACCUAAGUCAAUCCUCAUUAUCUCCGGCCACUGGGACACCAAAGUCCCCGCCGUCAACGUCGUCGAUCGCAACGAUACCAUUCACGACUUCUAUGGCUUCCCCAAACAGAUGUAUCAGGUAAACCACCUACCUACCCCAGCCUCUCUCUAUCCAGAUUCCUAAUCUAUUCAAUCAUCAGGCAUCUUGUUUACAUUCAAAAUCCUGAUCAAACUACGAAUUAAAUUAACUUGCGAUCAAUGGAUCAUUUAUUUUCAUUCCUGUCCAACGUUAGCCCCCAAUAAUUUCUCAUAGCAGCAAAUAACGUUUGAAGUUUCUGGCAGAGUUUGUUUCAAAUCUCAAUUGUAAAUUUGCUGUCUGGUUUGUGUGUGUUUUGGAUGGGGAUUACCAGAUAAAGUACACGCCUCCAGGAGCACCCGCAUUGGCAAAGAAGGUGAAGGAGCUGCUAAUGGCAUCCGGCUUCGAUGAAGUUGUGGAAGACAAGAAAAGAGGAGUGGAUCAUGGAGCAUGGGUGCCUCUGAUGCUCAUGUAUCCAGAUGCUGAUAUUCCCG